rnacentral:rRNA from 1 species
GACGAACCGAGCGAACGUUGUUCGGAAUCACUGGGCUUAAAGGGCGCGUAGGCGGGCUGUCAAGUCUGGGGUGAAAUCCCGCGGCUCAACCGUGGAACUGCCUCAGAUACUGACGGUCUCGAGGGGGAUAGGGGCGAGCGGAACUGUGAGUGGAGCGGUGAAAUGCGUUGAUAUUCACAGGAACUCCGGUGGCGAAGGCGGCUCGCUGGAUCUCUUCUGACGCUGAGACGCGAAAGCGUGGGGAGCAAACAGG